UAUGACCUUUAGUUUACAAAAUAUUUGAAAACUUUGAGGUCCUAUAACAAAGUUUUGAUAAUUUUUUUUCAGAUUUCAAGUCUUGGUGGUUGGAGUUUGAUUAGCUGAGCAAUUGUUAGUCUGACUUAGGAAUUUGCUUCAUUAUUUGCUAGUGGUGAGCCGAGUGACAAUAAACAUGAGUUGGUUACUUAUUAUAUUCGUAGUUUCGAUUGCACUGUAUAUUUUCACAUGGAGAAAAAACAACCAUAAGGGCCCUUUACCUCCCGGGCCAUCUUUGUUAGAGUCUUUCAAGAUCAUCUGGGGGAUAAUUACCAGGAACGACAUACAUAUUGUUGGAGAGAAAUUGGCUUUACGUUUUGGGGAGAUACUGAUCAUACGUUUUUGGGGAUUGAAUAUCGUGUUUGUCAACAGUGCUCGACUUUUACGAAAAUUGUUGACAAACGCCAAGUACCGGGACAUAACAAAUGAUCGACCACCUUCCUUUUUAAGAGAUCAUGUCGUGUAUGGGGGGAAGGAUAUAAUUUUUAGUGACUAUAAUGAAUAUCAAACAAAUUUAAGAAAACUAUUACACGGAGUCGUACAGCUAUAUGGUGAAGGUGUUCAAGAUUUUGAGAAUAUGGUCAAUACCGAAAUUGAAAAUCUACAAAAGAAACUGAUGGUGGUUAAAACUGGUCAAUCAUUUGACAUGGAUGAUGCUCUGAAAAUAUCAGUUAUAAGAACACUUCAUCUAUUUUUAACAAACGAAACUUUAAAAGAAGAUGUCCAAGCCGAAUUCUGUUCUAUUGUAGAAAAUUACGAUAAAGGUUUCACUAAUAUAGCCAGAGUUGACACCAAUAUGGCAUUAACUUUGAUUCCAUGGCUGCGUCAUUUACCGGGGUCAUAUGGUGAACUGGUUCAGGAAUUACAGAAAU